rnacentral:rRNA from 1 species
CGGAGGAAAAGAAACCAACAGGGAUUGCCCCAGUAACGGCGAGUGAAGCGGCAACAGCUCAAAUUUGAAAUCUGGCGCAAGCCCGAGUUGUAAUUUGUAGAGGAUGCUUCUAGGUAGCGACCGGUCUAAGUUCCUUGGAACAGGACGUCAUAGAGGGUGAGAAUCCCGUAUGUGACCGGCCCGCACCUUCUACGUAGCUCCUUCGACGAGUCGAGUUGUUUGGGAAUGCAGCUCUAAAUGGGAGGUAAAUUUCUUCUAAAGCUAAAUACCGGCCAGAGACCGAUAGCGCACAAGUAGAGUGAUCGAAAGAUGAAAAGCACUUUGGAAAGAGAGUUAAAAAGCACGUGAAAUUGUUGAAAGGGAAGCGCUCACAACCAGACUUCUGGGCGGUGUUCCGCCGGUCUUCUGACCGGUCUACUCGCCGUCCCGAGGCCAACAUCAUCUGGGACCGCUGGAUAAGACCUCAGGAAUGUAGCUUCCCUCGGGAAGUGUUAUAGCCUGUGGUGAUGCAGCGCGUCUCGGGUGAGGUCCGCGCUUCGGCAAGGAUGUUGGCGUAAUGGUUGUCAGCGGCCCGUCUUGAAACACGGACCAAGGAGUCUAACAUCUAUGCGAGUGUUCGGGUGUCAAACCCCUACGCGUAAUGAAAGUGAACGGAGGUGGGAAGCGUGAGCUGCACCAUCGACCGAUCCUGAUGUCCUCGGAUGGAUUUGAGUAAGAGCAUAGCUGUUGGGACCCGAAAGAUGGUGAACUAUGCCUGAAUAGGGUGAAGCCAGAGGAAACUCUGGUGGAGGCUCGCAGCGGUUCUGACGUGCAAAUCGAUCGUCAAAUUUGGGUAUAGGGGCGAAAGACUAAUCGAACCAU